GGAGAAACAUUUGACAGCAUGUACAAAAUAGGAUACAAACGUCUUAUUCUCUAUUUGGUAAUUUUAUGUUUAAAAAACAUUUUAUGCGUAAACUACAAAAAUGAAACACAACCCUCAGUCGCUUAUGGAAGUUCCUUUUCCAAAGCAUUAAGCCAGAAUCUACUGAGAGGUGAAGUUGUCAUCAUCAUAGGUGCCAUAAUUUGGUUGUUACUGCUGGGUACAAUGGCUGUUGGAGUCAAACGAACACACUGUUUACAAGGAUUAUUCUCAUCAAGGAAAAGCAAACGCGACCUGUAUCAAGUCAUAGAGCUACAAGAAUCCCGAGAAAAUUUUGAGAAUGAGAUUAAUGAAAUUUAUGAACAAAUUUUGCCACAUGUAAAUACUAUCAAAGGGAGUUUCCCUGUUGAUGUUUUCGUUAAAAUGGUAAAGAAAACGACAAGCAGUGAUUUGAGAAGCGAAUUUAAGGAAAUUCCAAGUGCAGUCACAAAUGCGUGUCAGCACGCCUAUCUAGAAGAAAAUCGUCGGAAAAAUAGAUACAAACGGAUAUGCCCAUAUGAUUAUAAUAGAGUGAAACUUAGUAUGACGGAUAUGCCAGAUUACACAGAUUACAUCAAUGCCUCCUACAUUCAUGGUUUUAAGAAUGAAAACAAAUUUAUUGCAGCUCAAGGUCCAUUUAAUCACGAAACGACUCUAUUAUUCUGGGAGAUGGUUUGGCAGUCGGAUUGUAGUGCAAUCGUUAUGUUUACGAACACGAGGGAGCAACACAGAACACGAUGUGGGGAAUACUGGCCCGAAAAUGAAGAACGAAUUGGAAGGAUUAAAAUAAAGUCAAUUAAAUGUAGCAGAUCUGCAUUUAUCAUUGCGAGAACAUUUGUACUUGAAAAGAGUGACGAAACCCAUCAUGUCAAACAUUAUCAAUUUACUGGUUGGGUGCAGAAGGAAUCCCACAGUGUCUCAAAUGCGUUUUUACAGCUGUACAACUUGACGCAUAGUAAAGAAGAUUCAAGUCCCAUCAUAGUCCAUUGCAGCUCUGGAAUUGGUAGAACAGGUACAUACAUUGCAUUUGAUCAUCUAAUGGAUGAAGCACACGAGACCGGGCAGCUCAGCGUCCAAGACUGUAUCAUGAAAUUACGAAAUCAAAGACCACUAAUGGUGCAGACCUCCGAUGAUUACCAAUUUCUGCUCAGAAUGCUGGCGGGAAACAUCACACAUGUGUAUGAUGAGGCUGUUACAUUAGACUUGUAAAUGGAAGAUGUAUGUGGGGGUCUUGAGAUUCAUUCAUACCAUAAAAACUUUUGACCAAAGUUAUGUUUUUGCAAAAGUAUUUUAGUCAAAUAUAUUUGUAUUUAAGGGUAUAUUUUGAAUCUAUCAUGUUUAAGCUUUGCUCAUUAAGCUAUUGUAUCUUUUGUAAUAAAUCUAGAAUAG
rnacentral:misc_RNA from 1 species